rnacentral:rRNA from 1 species
GAUGAACGCUGGCGGCGUGCCUAAUACAUGCAAGUCGAGCGAACAGACGAGGAGCUUGCUCCUCUGACGUUAGCGGCGGACGGGUGAGUAACACGUGGAUAACCUACCUAUAAUACUGGGAUAACUUCGGGAAACCGGAGCUAAUACCGGAUAAUAUAUUGAACCGCAUGGUUCAAUAGUGAAAGACGGUUUUGCUGUCACUUAUAGAUGGAUCCGCGCCGCAUUAGCUAGUUGGUAAAGUAACGGCUUACCAAGGCGACGAUGCGUAGACGAACUGAGAGGGUGAUCGGCCACACUGGAACUGGAACGCGGACCAGACUACUACGGGAGGCAGCAGUAGGGAAUGUGACGCAAUGGGCGAAAACAUGACGGAGCAAGGCCGCGUGAGAGAUGAAGGUGUUCGGAUCGUAAAAAUCUGUUAUUAGGGAAGAACAAAUGUGUAAGUAACUAUGCACGUCUUGACGGUAACUAAUAAGAAAGCACCGGCUAACUACGUG